GGAGGCUCUGGGCAGACACUGACUCCAAGGAGACCAGGGAAGGGGAAUCUCCAGAGAAAAUAUCUGCAGUGCUGAAGGUGACGAGGAGAGGAAGAGGCUGAGGCACAGAGAAGCCUGGCAGGAGUUCACCCAGCAGGGCAUCACAAGCAAAAGGGACAGCUUGGGUGUAGGUGCAGAGGCAGAAAAUGGUGGGGCGCCCAGGGGAGUUGGUCAUAGGUUGGUACACCAAUGGGCGCCCAGGGGCCACACACCUACACUGGCACAGACCUGGUGGCAUGACCUGCUUAAGCCAACGGGACAUCGGCAAAUGUGAGUAAAGCAGUGGCUUGGGAAGCGGUUGCACACUGCAGCUUGCUCUGGGAAGGCUGCAUCCAAUGGAGGAGCCCAGGCUAGCCUGCUGGAGACAUGAGGCUCAGCCAAUAGCUGCUACCCCAGGCCAAGUGCGGCCAACUUAGACCUUGCUGCACCAAGGUGUCUCCAGCUGUCUUGGGGAGCCUAAAUAAAAGCAGCAGAACUGCUCAGCUGAGCCCGGACCAGACGAUAAAGCUAAUUUAUGGUGGUUUGGAUGCAUCAGUAGAUCAUUGAGACUAAUUUUCAAGUGUCCAGUAUCUAAAGAGAACGAGAUGACCAAUGCUGUGCAGAUGUGACAGAGCGGAUAGCUGUACCCGCAGUGCACUGUCCUGGAAAGCACUGUGGGAGACAAGGCUUGAAGGAAAAUUUCUGGAGCUCUAGGUUGCUGACAUCAGCAGUCCCAAGAAGAGUUAUCAGGAGUUCACACUUUCCUCCGCAUUCUGAACUACAAAGGGGAUUCUUCCCUCCGACCUCAUUGCCUGCUUCCAAAGCACCCACCUAGCUUCAAAGGCCAUCACCCUCCAUCCAGUACCUGGCAUGAAGCCAGCACAUUGGAGCUGGUUUAUAAACAGUUGUUGAAUGAUGGGGAAUGCAUGCAGCCUCGCAUACCCAUCAGGUCCUCUGAGCCACUGCAGAAACGCUAAAUAUAAAAUCGAAGCUGCCUGCUGUACAGCUGGACAGGGUGUAUCCACUGCCCCCACACACCCAGAAUAGAUGGAGUGUUCAUUUCUUCCUUAUACCCAAAUGCUCUUCCCUCCUGAGCCCCCUGCCCAGGUCAGACAGCAUCUGAAUCCCCACUUAGAAUGAAUGGAGUAUCUGCCUCCCUGCUGAGACUGGAUGGAAUGUCCACCUUCUCCCUUAGACUAGAUA
rnacentral:lncRNA from 1 species